rnacentral:rRNA from 1 species
AGAGUUUGAUCCUGGCUCAGGACGAACGCUGGCGGCGCGCCUAACACAUGCAAGUCGAACGAGCGAGAGAGAGCUUGCUUUCUUGAGCGAGUGGCGAACGGGUGAGUAACGCGUGAGGAACCUGCCUCAAAGAGGGGGACAACAGUUGGAAACGACUGCUAAUACCGCAUAAGCCCACGACCCGGCAUCGGGUAGAGGGAAAAGGAGCAAUCCGCUUUGAGAUGGCCUCGCGUCCGAUUAGCUGGUUGGUGAGGUAACGGCCCACCAAGGCGACGAUCGGUAGCCGGACUGAGAGGUUGAACGGCCACAUUGGGACUGAGACACGGCCCAGACUCCUACGGGAGGCAGCAGUGGGGAAUAUUGCACAAUGGGGGAAACCCUGAUGCAGCGACGCCGCGUGGAGGAAGAAGGUCUUCGGAUUGUAAACUCCUGUUGUUGAGGAAGAUAAUGACGGUACUCAACAAGGAAGUGACGGCUAACUACGUGCCAGCAGCCGCGGUAAAACGUAGGUCACAAGCGUUGUCCGGAAUUACUGGGUGUAAAGGGAGCGCAGGCGGGAAGACAAGUUGGAAGUGAAAUCCAUGGGCUCAACCCAUGAACUGCUUUCAAAACUGUUUUUCUUGAGUAGUGCAGAGGUAGGCGGAAUUCCCGGUGUAGCGGUGGAAUGCGUAGAUAUCGGGAGGAACACCAGUGGCGAAGGCGGCCUACUGGGGCACCAACUGACGCUGAGGCUCGAAAGUGUGGGUAGCAAACAGGAUUAGAUACCCUGGUAGUCCACACUGUAAACGAUGAUUACUAGGUGUUGGAGGAUUGACCCCUUCAGUGCCGCAGUUAACACAAUAAGUAAUCCACCUGGGGAGUACGACCGCAAGGUUGAAACUCAAAGGAAUUGACGGGGGCCCGCACAAGCAGUGGAGUAUGUGGUUUAAUUCGACGCAACGCGAAGAACCUUACCAAGUCUUGACAUCCUGCGACGCACAUAGAAAUAUGUGUUUCCUUCGGGACGCAGAGACAGGUGGUGCAUGGUUGUCGUCAGCUCGUGUCGUGAGAUGUUGGGUUAAGUCCCGCAACGAGCGCAACCCUUAUGGUCAGUUACUACGCAAGAGGACUCUGGCCAGACUGCCGUUGACAAAACGGAGGAAGGUGGGGAUGACGUCAAAUCAUCAUGCCCUUUACAUCCUGGGCUACACACGUAAUACAAUGGCGGUCAACAGAGGGAAGCAAAGCCGCGAGGCAGAGCAAACCCCCAAAAGCCGUCCCAGUUCGGAUCGUAGGCUGCAACUCGCCUGCGUGAAGUCGGAAUCGCUAGUAAUCGCGGAUCAGCAUGCCGCGGUGAAUACGUUCCCGGGCCUUGCACUCACCGCCCGUCA